rnacentral:lncRNA from 1 species
GCCCAAGAAAAAUCUCACUCUCCUAACAUGUCAGUAUGGGCCUGGUUCAAAUACCUGCAAGCAGAAUGGAUCAUGCAGAAGAGAUGGAAGAAAAAGCAAUGACAAUUUUCUAUGAGGCAUUUUCCAGUAGUAUUGCAGUCUGAGACCUGUGAAGCCAUCUACUGAAUAUCCAACACUAUCAGUCACAGAAAUGGAGAGGAAGAUUAAGGUUUGCUGAGUUACUAAAGAAAGAAUGAUUACUUAACUCUAUGCACAGAUUUUAUAUAAGCUUUCAGAAGUUUCAUGAAUCUUCUUCCUGCAAUUAAAACUCAGUAACAUUUCUCUUAGAAGGUAACUUGGAGGACUGAGAGGACUGUAAUUAAAUGAUCAGAAUGGCUUUGUUUAUCAUUUUUGAGAAAAC